rnacentral:rRNA from 1 species
GACGAACGCUGGCGGCGCGCCUAACACAUGCAAGUCGAACGGAGCGUGCCGAGCGGAAGCCUUCGGGUGGAAGCAUGGCAUUGCUUAGUGGCGAACGGGUGAGUAACACGUGAGCAACCUGCCUUAAAGUGGGGGACAACAUUUGGAAACGAAUGCUAAUACCGCAUAAGACCACGGAGUCGCAUGGCUCUGAGGCCAAAGGAGCAAUCCGCUUUAAGAUGGGCUCGCGUCCGAUUAGGUAGUUGGUGGGGUAAUGGCUCACCAAGCCAACGAGCGGUAGCCGGACUGAGAGGUUGAUCGGCCACAUUGGGACUGAGACACGGCCCAGACUCCGACGGGAGGCAGCAGUGGGGGAUAUUGCACAAUGGGGGAAACCCUGAUGCAGCGACGCCGCGUGAGUGAAGACGGCCGUCGGGUUGUAAAGCUCUGUUGUGGGGGACGAAACAAAUGACGGUACCCCACCAGAAAGCCACGGCUAACUACGUGCCAGCAGCCGCAGUAAAAC